AUGGGGGCGGCGGAAGGUGCGCUCAGCGUCGAGGAGGCCGCCGGCGGGGGCUCCCCUCCGCCUCGCCUCGCCACGCUCGCGCUAGCCCGCGCUGGGAGCGGCCGCAGGGGCGCCCGCGACAUCUUCCGCGAGGCAUUCGAGGAGUUCGCCGCCGACGGCCACGUGGCGGCUGCUUCCCGCGCCGGGCGCGGACGGAGGAGUGCAUAUAAGGAACCCAAGCAGAUGAGUAGAAAGGUCAGGGGCUGCCCGUUAUUCCGCCAAUCAAUUUUUCACAACAACCCUUUGAACAUCGUGGACUUGGGUGGGGGUGUCAUGGGCUGUAGAGGGUUUCACUCGAGCUUUCAAGCCGCACAGAGUGGACUUUCUCUUAAUACUGAUAUUUUCAUAACAAAUACUGUGAAGCCUGAUUUUCCACACGCCAACCAGAUGGUUGGUAACCUGAACAAAACUCAUUGGGCUAAGGCCGAGAAUGAAGUGAAUAAUUCAAGGAUAAAAACAAGCCCAGCAAAUGCAGAAUACAACAUGGUCUGUUUGAGUGAAAGGAACUGUUCUGAACAAAUGUUUUCCCUGAAGCAAUUAGAAAUACCAGUUUAUGCUUACUUUGUGAAGAACCGUGGCAUGGAGCUGAGAUACCCUGGUGAUUUCCCUUGUAUUAAUUUUCUUGGUUGUGCCUUAUUUGUGCAAUUCCUGAUAAGUGUUUCUCUGCCAGCUCUGCUCGCUUGCGCCUUUGCAAUCUUUGACUACCUUACAAAGAUCUUUGUCGAGAAGUCCAGGCAGAUACUUCUAAAAAGGAUGUCAGUUUUGUCUGAUGUAAUGAGACGCAGCAGCUAUGGUACAGAAUCUAUGCUGAGCGCAUGUAGAAUUCCAAUAUUCCAAGGCUUUACGCAAGUGGCUGGUAGGAUACUGCAGCCCCCCAAGCAUUGGCUGAUUGUUGAAUUUCCUUAUUCAUAUGAUACCCCACGUGUUGCUGCGGAGAUAUCAUCUAGUUGCCUCUUGGAUUUUUCAAUUUCAGUUUAA
rnacentral:rRNA from 1 species